AGUGGCGACGGGUGAGUAACACGUGAGCAACCUGCCUUGCAGAGAGGGAUAACGAUUGGAAACGAUCGCUAAUACCACAUAACAUAUGGAUAUCGCAUGAUGACCAUAUCAAAGAUUUAUCGCUGCAAGAUGGGCUCGCGUCUGAUUAGAUAGUUGGUGAGGUAACGGCUCACCCAAGUCGACGAUCAGUAGCCGGACUGAGAGGUUGAACGGCCACAUUGGGACUGAGACACGGCCCAGACUCCUACGGGAGGCAGCAGUGGGGGAUAUUGCACAAUGGGGGAAACCCUGAUGCAGCGGCGCCGCGUGAGGGAAGAAGGUUUUCGAAUUGUAAACCUCUGUCUUUGGGGACGAUAAUGACGGUACCCAAGGAGGAAGCUCCGGCUAACUACGUGCCAGCCGCUGC
rnacentral:rRNA from 1 species